rnacentral:rRNA from 1 species
AUUGCCUCAGUAACGGCGAGUGAAGCGGCAAGAGCUCAAAUUUGAAAGCUGGCUCCUUCGGAGUCCGCAUUGUAAUUUGCAGAGGAUGCUUUGGGUGCGGCCCCCGUCUAAGUGCCCUGGAACGGGCCGUCAGAGAGGGUGAGAAUCCCGUCUUGGGCGGGGUGUCCGUGCCCGUGUAAAGCUCCUUCGACGAGUCGAGUUGUUUGGGAAUGCAGCUCUAAAUGGGUGGUAAAUUUCAUCUAAAGCUAAAUACUGGCCGGAGACCGAUAGCGCACAAGUAGAGUGAUCGAAAGAUGAAAAGCACUUUGAAAAGAGAGUUAAACAGCACGUGAAAUUGUUGAAAGGGAAGCGCUUGCGACCAGACUCGCCCGCGGGGUUCAGCCGGCAUUCGUGCCGGUGUACUUCCCCGUGGGCGGGCCAGCGUCGGUUUGGGCGGCCGGUCAAAGGCCCCUGGAAUGUAGUACCCUCCGGGGUACCUUAUAGCCAGGGGUGCAAUGCGGCCAGCCUGGACCGAGGAACGCGCUUCGGCACGGACGCUGGCAUAAUGGUCGUAAACGACCCGUCUUGAAACACGGACCAAGGAGUCUAACAUCUACGCGAGUGUUCGGGUGUCAAACCCGUGCGCGCAGUGAAAGCGAACGGAGGUGGGAGCCCCCUCGCGGGGCGCACCAUCGACCGAUCCUGAUGUCUUCGGAUGGAUUUGAGUAAGAGCGUAAAUGUGGGGACCCGAAAGAUGGUGAACUAUGCCUGAAUAGGGCGAAGCCAGAGGAAACUCUGGUGGAGGCUCGCAGCGGUUCUGACGUGCAAAUCGAUCGUCAAAUUUGGGUAUAGGGGCGAAAGACUAAUCGAACCAUCUAGUAGCUGGUUCCUGCCGAAGUUUCCCUCAGGAUAGCAGUAACGCAAGAUCAGUUUUAUGAGGUAAAGCGAAUGAUUAGAGGCAUUGGGGUUGAAACAACCUUAACCUAUUCUCAAACUUUAAAUAUGUAAGAAGCCCUUGUUGCUUAGUUGAACGUGGGCAUUAGAAUGGAGCGUUACUAGUGGGCCAUUUUUGGUAAGCAGAACUGGCGAUGCGGGAUGAACCGAACGCGAGGUUAAGGUGCCGGAAUGCACGCUCAUCAGACACCACAAAAGGUGUUAGUUCAUCUAGACAGCCCGACGGUGGCCAUGGAAGUCGGAAUCCGCUAAGGAGUGUGUAACAACUCACGGGCCGAAUGAACUAGCCCUGAAAAUGGAUGGCGCUCAAGCGUGCUACCCAUACCUCGCCGUCGGGGUAGAAACGAUGCCCCGACGAGUAGGCAGGCGUGGGGGUCCGUGACGAAGCCCU